rnacentral:rRNA from 1 species
GUAGGGUGCAAGCGUUAAUCGGAAUUACUGGGCGUAAAGCGUGCGCAGGCGGUUUUGUAAGUCUGUCGUGAAAUCCCCGGGCUCAACCUGGGAAUUGCGAUGGAGACUGCAAGGCUAGAAUCUGGCAGAGGGGGGUAGAAUUCCACGUGUAGCAGUGAAAUGCGUAGAGAUGUGGAGGAACACCGAUGGCGAAGGCAGCCCCCUGGGUCAAGAUUGACGCUCAUGCACGAAAGCGUGGGGAGCAAACAGGAUUAGAUACCCUGGUAGUCCACGCCCUAAACGAUGUCUACUAGUUGUCGGGUUUUAAUUAACUUGGUAACGCAGCUAACGCGUGAAGUAGACCGCCUGGGGAGUACGGUCGCAAGAUUA